UUUGUAUUAUAUACUAUUAAUAUAUCUGUCUACCUGCACCCAUACCGUUUAAUUGAUUCUACGGCUAUUAUGGAUUAUUUAUUAGUUGAUUCCCUUAUUGUUGUAUAUCAGUAAGCCUAUUUUUUUUAAGCCCAACAGAAGUUAUCGAUUGCUUUACUGAUGAGUUGACUAACAGAUGACGAACUAAUCAUUUGCAGAGUUAGAAUGUGCAAUUUAGAAUAGGAAAUAUCUCCAGAAAUUCAAAUUGUU